UUAAAAUGGAGUUAGUUAGGUCUCACAGUUCUCAGUUCAGGGGAGAGGAGGAGCAGGCCCAGGAUCAGUGUACCAGUGUGGAGUUAAGAGGCCGGAGACCAAGGCCAGAGUGAGCCCGGCUGGCUUCUCCUUUAAACGGGGAUAACAGUGACCACAGCCCAAGCUGACAAGAAUGAAAUGCAUGAGUGCGAUAGUGAAGCAGGUACCGAGGGUGAGCUCCAUUGCUAGUCCAGAGGUAAACGACACCAAACCGUACCAUGGUGUGCUUGUACAGGGGCAGUAAAGGGUGCUGCUCAACCUGGGGAUGAAGAGCACAAAAUACCUUCCUGCCAGUGUCUGAAAGGGUGCCUGCUAUCAGUCAGUCACUUGAAGAGCAGAAAUGAGGCAUGUGUUUGUGAGAAACUUUCAGGAGAAAUAUUCCAGAAAUUCACAUUUGAUGUAGUCAGAAAUGUCUUCCAUAGGACCGAGGGAGGACAGAGGAAGCCUCCCCAACCCUGAUUCAUCUCCUCAGUGACCUUCCCAGCCUGUGAGCCUCUUAAUCUGGAUGCAUUUAUCUUCUUUCCAUCGAAGGAGCCUGAUCUCAGUCUCCUCAGAGCUCCUCCAGCAGGCUCUGGGUCUGCCCUAAGGAAAGGGCAUUUCUCCAGCUCUGUCUCUUCCUUUGCCAGUUGUGAUUCCAUUCUCCACAUCCUGCUCUGCUUGUCUUGUUCUCCAGGUAGGGUGAGCUCACAGUUGAUGAGGGUAUUAAAUCUACCUCCUGCCCCACCUCAAGCAGGCUGUAAGGAAGGGCCUCGCAGCUGACCAUCCCGCUUCCCAGGAUACGGGAAUGGUAGCCCACAAUCGCAGAUUUUCAGUGUUAAUCUGUUGAUUUACUGAUCCUACUCAAGCCCACAUUCUUGUUUGUCAUGUUCUGUCAUCUAAACUAAGAGAAUGAAAGAGACCUGCACUGAAAAUGGGGACAUUCAGCAUCUAGUUUGACUUGCCACAUAUCUGCUCUGGGACUUAGGACAAGAAACUUGACAGAGCACACAUUCUUCUCAUCUGAAACAUUGAAUUUCAGUAAAUUACCUGUAAUUUAUCAGAGAAAAGCAUUUUAUAAGUUCUAUUCAUAAGACACUUGCACAUCUACUCAUUAACUCAUCUAUCUUCGCCAUCAUUAACUCUUCCAAUUCCCACCAAACCCUUGGAGAAUAGCCCAGGUCCACCUUCAGUGACCUGCAUGCAGUCUGCAAAGGCCCCUGGGCAGGCACACUGGACUCUCCCUGUCAUUUGAGCCAUUUCACGCCUCUGCCUUUCCUAGUACACCUGUCCUCAGAGGAUGGGUCCCAGCAGCCAGAGGAGGUUCCAUUUCUGAUGCUUUUAUUGUGGAUUCAGCUUGGGCGGGGCUGGGAGAACACCCACCUACACUUCCUUGUUUCAGAUGUAGCUCUCUAGAUCUGGAAAGGCUUGUCAGACUCCUUCUUAGUACAGAAAACCCUCCUUUGGCACUACCUGGUGAGGAGAGACACUCCCUUCUCUUCUCCGCAGGAAGGACAGCUCAGAAUGAGACAGAAGGCUCAGGUGUGGGUCAGUCCAUGCCUACUCUCUCAGGCUCUGGUGGGGCAGUUGGCGUGAGUGUUAAAGCCCCAGGUGGAAGAUUACCACGAGAGUAGACUCUCGAAGGCUGAGCCAAGUCAUCCAGCUUCUCAGCCCCCCCUUACCCACACUGCUGCUUCUCUGCAGUGACCAAGGCUCCCUGCAAAUCCCUAGGCAAACACUUCAUAUUUUGAGCAAGUGUAUUAGCUAGGGUUCUUCAGAGAAACAGAACCAAUGCAAAUGCAUAUAUAUUAUAUACAUAUAUUGUUUCUUUAUUUUAAGGAAUGGCUCCCAGGCUGAAUCCACAAUACAUUCAGGCCCAAGGACAAUCUGCUGGGAGGUCAGUCUUCCUUUCUACACAGGCUUUCAAAUGAUUGGAUGAGGAACACCCACAUUAAGGAGGAAAAUCUGCUUUACUCAAACUCUACUGAUUUAAAUGUUUACCCCGUUAAAAAUAUCUACACAAAAGCAUCUAGAAUAACUGAACAAAUCUCUGGCUACUGUGACAUAAAUAUCACACACACACACAUCCGCAUACACACACACAUACACCCCUAGUGGACAGAAAAACUAAAGUUCAAAAUGUUUGUGAGUGAUUCAAAUGUCCUUUCCCAAGGACACUGUCCAAGCACUAGUAUUUGGGGCUAUUAGGUCCAGAAAGAGCCCUGGUCUUUCCCUCAUGAUCCGAUGGCAUGGAGAACUAGAGAAACAAACUCUUAUUUCUUCCUAUAGCUCUGCCUGACACUCACUAUUAAUUGCAGAUUUUGGCCUUUUAUUAAAGAUUGGAUUUUCUUCCCAAAUUUCAGUGAUGAAGAGCUAUCCAUAAAUCUUGGGAGUCUAGAGUUUCUGGUGACAGAGUUGUGGAUUCAUUUUUUUGACUGAAGCCUUUCCUCAGGGCAGGUCAGGAACUUCUGCCCCAUCCUUCCGCACUCGGUGAGGUUUGCACAGCACAAGGAGACGCUCUGAUUCUGCAGAUGUGAAGUGGUGGUGCCCAGAGCUCAGAAGCCCUGGUAUUGGUCCAAGGAAAGGAGCUCAGCAAAGAAGCCAUUCCCCACACUCCAGAGAGGGGUAACAAGGCUUGGCGAGGAAAUGCAAAGGGCUAGUUUUGCACUUCAUUGCAUGGUCAAGCAGCUGGGAGAUGAGUCACUCCAGCUCCAUGGAUCUGCAGAGGGAGACUUGCAGGAAGAGAGGCCCGCCCAACUCUCCCGAAGGCCUCGGAAGUAGAAGGUUCUCAUCACCUGCAGAAGGACCUUCCAGAGGAAAUGCGACGGUUAUUACCACCAGGGAGGAGCCAGACUUGAUUUUUGGAGCACAGCCUGGUUUUUUCAAGUGUUUCGAGGCUGUUCUCUAGGAUAAAAGGACCCCAGGGUGGCCUCAUUUAUGUCACUUGGAUCUCAGAGUCCUGGAGCAGAAGGAGAAGGAGGCUUUCACCAGUCCAGGGAAGAUGUCCUAUCAGCAGCAGCAACAAUGCAAACUUCCCUGCCCACCCCCUCCUCAGGUCCUGGAGCCCUGCCCCCCCAAGGUGCCUGAGCCCUGCCCCCCCAAGGUGCCUGAGCACUGUCCCCCCAAGGUGCCCGUGCCGUGCCCUGCACCCUCCAGCCAGCAGAAGUGCCCUCCUGUGCAGCAUCCUCCAUGCCAACAGGAGUGUCUCCCAAAGCAGAAGUGAAUCAUCCGAAGCCACCACACCCUCCACCUGGACCUGAAGGUGCCAAGCCCUCUCCCUCCCUGCCAAUGCUCUACACCCUCCUUCCAACAGUCACAAAGAAGAACACAGCCUAGGAAAACCUACCUCUCAGCUGGCCCAAGGAGAGUGACACCUCCACUCAAGGUGUCUUGUUGCGGAUCAACAGAUCACUCUGAGCCUCAUCCUCUAGCACCCAGCAGAGAACAGAUGAGUGCUAUUCUCCGAGGCCUCCCUCCCCUGGAGCCCUGUGAACUAUAUUCACCGUGGCCAGGACAGGCUGCUCUUCCAGGUGCUUCUGCAGGUCUGAGAAGAACAUUAGAAUGAGGGCAGAUUCUUUCAACGAUGCCUCCUGACUUACUCCAAGUUUUUCCAAGCUUUUGAGAAGCCAAAGGCAUUAAACUAACUGCCUUAAAUGAGUGGAAAAUUACUCCGACUUCCUUCUUUGCCUUACUAUUUAGUUAGUGUAGUGAAAUCUAUUUCAAAUCACCAAUUUUUUAUUGGUAAAGACAGAUGACUUUACCUCUUGACCCUAAGCCAGAAGCUCCCAACCCUUUGUGUUGCUGUUACUUUUAACUUCCCACUCCUAAUAAAUCCAGUUGUUCCUGUA